ACACAAUUACUGUGCAGCCCUCUCACCGCUGCAGUACUGAAAGCGUGUGUUCUGCCCGCAGGUGAGGGCGAAGCAGUGACCCCGCCUGACAGACAGGUAGCACCAUCUGUGCCAGGGGACAGCCUGACAGCUCCAGCACAGGGGGAAUGGGGCAGGGCUGCCCCAGCCUUCCUUUCAAGCCUGCUUAAUAACAGGCUUCUCUUCUCUUCUAACGAAAUCAAAGAUUUUACUCGCGCAGAGGACAGCUUGCACCGUUACUUGGUUGGCAGCAGUGGGGCAACGCUUUGUCUACACAGCUCUCCCAGUGUUUUAGCCACAUCAGUACAGCGGGAGUGGAAAUGAUCUGUCAUGACCCAAAGAUUUAAUGUCAAAAGAGCUUGCCCAGCAGCUGAAUUACCUCAUGGAGUAUCCAAAUAUAGUGUGUACAGAGCCAAAAAAACUCAGCUUGAUCAUAUAACAGCACUCAAUGACAUGCAGAUUCAUCAGGAUGUGUAACCCAAAGGCCUACCUAGUGAAACUUGUUAAUGCCAAAACUUGGUCUGGUAAUAAAAUGGAAAGCUAAAAUGGACAUAGGUAUUUGGAAUGGGAUCUCAAAGAAAAAAAAAAAAAAGAAAAAGAAAAAGAAAAAAAAAGAAGAUGGAAAAAGAAGUUUAUUCUAGAAGGGUUCUGAAGCAAGAACUUGAAGAAUGUACAGCUUCAGCAUUUCUGUCUCAUCAGUGGAACACAAGAAGCUCUGGGGAUGUCUGUAGUAUCUACCUCUGUUUCUGUAGUAUCUGGAGCAAUGAUCUUUGCCACUUAAGGAAAAACAAGUUUCUGAUCCCAGCAGAUUUUCUUUUUUCACUGCUAUGCAGUCAGAGCUGUUAAAGAUAAGGCAUGAUCAUUGUUCUUCUAAGGCAAACCUGCAGUUGUCCUAAGUGCCUGCAGAGAUGAUUCCUUCAUCAGCUGAGUUGAUUGAUGCUCUCAGCUCCUGCCCCUCUCCUUACCUCCACCUAACCCUGACACGUAUCCACCAGGGAAGAAGGUAUGCAGCAGUAGUGUGACUCUUCUGAGUGGCAUCAGCGACUCCUACCAUGGUUGAUAAACUGAAGUUUACUAAAUGACUUUGUAACUUAAUGAACUAAUAGCUUACUUAACAAACUAAACCAAAGUCCUGGUGUUAUUUCACGGAGCUCAUAACUCGCCGUUCUGAACGAGCCAACAUCAUUUGCACGAGUGAAAGCUGCCUCCAAGCUCAGGUGUUCACAACAUGAUGAGAAGUAUGGGAAAAAAGCAAAAUCAGAGCUGAAGAGGGAGAAGUGCUGCUGGCAGGACUUGGGCUGUUUUUCUGUGGCGCAGGCUGCCUGCAUCCAGAUGGUGGUAAAAGAGAAACGUGAAGGGGAAAUGCAUGUGCACAAAGCUCACGCAGUGCAGGAUGGCUGCUUCUAGUUACAUGAUAGGAACCUCGCAGCAGAAAUGCUAUCAUUAAGAUGUUAAUCUAAAUGUUCCAUCAAACUGCUCAGAGAUAAGAUUCAGAUCUGAUAAAAGUGCAUAACUGUGUUUUUUUUUCCCGUGAGUAUUUCACUGCAGGAGCAGUGAUGUUUAUGUAUUGUAUGAUUAAGCACUGCGACCUUAGGAAAGGAUGAAGUUUGGUUUUGUUCUUUUAUGCUCCAGACAUUCGAGUUCGACUUCUUUGACGCUAUUUCGUCUUCAGAGGAGGCAAAGUCAAAGGCAGAGAUCAAGCUCUGGAUUUGAGAAACAGCAGUUGACUGCUUCUCAGAAAAGGCAGUUUGUUCAGUGGUUGCCUUCUGCUGCUGACACUUGCCUAUCUGCACUCUCCGCAGUGACAUGGAGACUGAAAAUGCAGUCUGAGCACACAGUAGAAUUAAGAUGGUAUUUAAGAAAAUCACAGGUAUUUUAGCAUGGCAGUGCCUUAAGAAAAGUCUACAAACAGUGAAAAAAAAAAUGGAGAAAUGCCACUGCUCUGUUCUGAUCUCACAGGCUGUCUGCACUGAAAAAAUGGCCCUUCCAGACUCCAUCAUGCUGGAACCUGCCCACAUGGGAUCAGUAUCCCCUUUGCAUUUAGACAGUGCCAUUUCAGCUGGAGCAUUAUGAUUCAGCUAUUUGCUACCUGUGCAGAAGCUAAGCCGAGCAAGUUAAUCCAUCUGUGUGAUGCAAAUAGCAAUGAAAUUGGUCUGGUUUGCCUAGAACAGGAGUGGGAGGCUGUGUGUACUGUUUAGCAUAGAUAUUAGGUGGCAUGCCGGAAAGAUUUUCUGCAGUGCUGAGAUUCUUGAAGAAAGACAGAGAAGGAGAUAGGAUAACCUACUUUUGAGUUUCUUUUGUGUGUGUAUGUGUGUGUUUUCUUCUCCAAACCUGAGCUGCUGGCUUGAAAUUGAUUUAUUUACCUAUUUAUCUAUUUUUAAACCCAUGCAGUAACUCCCAACAGAAUGAGGGAUGAGUCAUGCACACAGCUCUCAGUGCAGCGUGCAUUUCCUCUGCUGGCUCCAGCUGCAGGGACAGACCAGAGUCCAGGAAAGGAGAAGCAGAGAGGACCACCAUCACUUAAGCUGAGGUCUCUGCCAGGGACUCCUCAAUAGGUAUCAGCUGAGGUUCACACUCAGAUAAAGGACAGGAGCAAGGGAGUUGACCUGGGGAGUCAAUGUUAUCAGCUCAAGCCCUUCUUCCACCCAUGAAUGUCCUCUUUACUCAAAUCCUGAUGAGUAGAGAGCAGAGUAUGCCUGCCUUGCAUGACUCCAGGGAUGCAGGCAGAGCAAUUCCUUGUGCAAAUUUUAACGUGAAUCAUUAAAUCGGGUGAAAAGGAUGAGAAAAAAAAGUAGAACUUUGUGGCGAUUUAAUGCUGGUGGAAUUUCGUGCCAUAUUAGUAUUUAUCUGUCUAUCAUCUAUCAUCAUCUCAUUGAUUUUGCACAGAGAAGCUUACACUAUAAAUUCUGUGAAUAAAUCUUCUUUAGGAAAAAAGAGACACUCAGUCUUCCUGUGAAGGACAGCUACCUCAUGUACAGCUCUCCAGCUGACCAACACAGUAUCUGAGCGGCAGCAAAUAUCCACAUUAUCUGUAAAUGAGUCAUAUGUAUGUCUCCAAACUGAAGUUGUUUAAUUGAAAAUAACAAGUGCAGUCCUAGUAACCGUGUGGGAAAAGUCUUGGUGAAGCACAGAAGAGGGCCUCAUGACCUGGGCUGGUGAAUCCUCCUUGCUGUUUUCACAAGGGGUGACCAUUCCUGAGUGUUGCAAGGUCAACCAGUUAAAUAUCAAAUGCCAGUAAAGCACUGACUUGUAAAGGAAACUCCAGCUCAACCACUGAAUUCCCAAACCAUUUGUGUAUUUUAAAUACCUCAAAUCUUCACAGAAGAAUACCAUCACUGUAAGUCACUUCUGCUACGGCUUUUGUAAGGGACUCUGGUGUUGAGGAACCUGAGCCAGUGGGAUAGCUUUUGUGAUAUAUGAUGAAGUGCAAUAUUGAAUCUGAUGCACGACUUCCCGAGUCAUUCUUCUGCACUGAAACUUUCCUCUUGCACCUGUCGUUCCCUCUUGGGUACUCACAGACUUAUUUAUUUUUCCCCAAAAAAUCAGACUCUGACCAAACCGUUAUGUCAGUUAAUGGCAUUAAUAAAAUCAAGAAGUCCUUUUUGGCUCUAUGAAAUCUGCAUAGCGCUGAAAAGUGAGUUGUUAUUUGAACUGUGACAAUUCAGUUUCAAUGCGUGCUCUUCACUGGUUCCUGUUUGAAAUGAAUAAGCAGAAGCUUACAGGCUUUUUCCAUGGAAGUUUGCCAUUUCAGGAUAUACUCUACGGAAUUUUUAUCUUAUGCAACAUGUUAUAAUGCAUUAGACUUUUUUUUUUUCCCCCUAACUUAAAAACAAAGGCAUUUACAAUUCAGGUAGUAUUUAUGCCAUUCCAUACAGACCGUAUUUCAAAAAAUACAGACAACCUCUGUAGUCACAAAUCUGGUACUUUCUAUUUGAAAUGAUAAAAUGCUUACUGUUUGUAAUGUUAAGUAUUGUAGCCAGGGUUGAAUUUAUGAACAGUCUCAUUUGUGUCUUCUUAACUCCAUGUAAAUCUAUGUGCAUAUAUUAGUUGAAGGCACAUUUGGAGAAUUAUUUGCAUGAAAACUGCUGAUGAAGACAUGUCAAAAUAAGAAAGUUAUUUUAAGACAGCUAUAGUAGGGUAUCUCCCUCUCCAGGAUGUUUGUUAGCUCUGACAAUUCUUAGUUAAUUUUGUCUGGCUGUUUUCAUGAAUCUUCGGGUUCCAACAAAAGCUAAUAAAACCAGCUAUGAAAGCUUUAAAUAUAACUACAUUUCAGUGAAUAUUAAUCAGAGGAAGACUACAUGCGUAAUGCCAGUACAGAACCAUACACAUUUGUUGCUUUGUGUUGUGCAUUCAGAGGAAGACUAGUUCCCUCAUCAAGCCUCCAUAUAUUUGAACUGUUCUUGCCCAGAGUUAGGGUAAAUUACACAAUCAGUUCUGUGAUCAUCAACAUCCAUUCCAGGGAAUUAAACCAGCUGCUGACCUCUACAUAUGAAUACGUUCACAUGCCCACCUACCAACCAUUCAGUGUGACCCAGCGUUUUCAUCACUUCUACUCCUGUUUCUUGGAGUCCCCUCAAAAACACUGCAAAAUGUGACAAUCUUCAGCCAUGCUGACUGGCAUCUUCCCUGAAAAGUGUUCUUGGGAAGAAAAGUUACUUCACAGAAUCACAGAAUAAUCACUUCCUCUGACCCUUCUAUGUCCCAGCCUAGUCUACUCUUGAAACACGACCACAUUUGUAGCCCUAAUCAGUAAGGAUGCUAGGGGAGUUGUAACCAAACCUAGAAGACCCAGGAUGCUGCCUCGUGGCUGCUGUGUCCAGCCAGGAGCAGUCCCAGAACCAGGUGAUCUCUCCAUCCCAGUCCCAGGGCUGCUGCUGCUGCUCUUCCUGCUGGCAGGUCUGGCGUGUAGAAAGACGCACACAUACAGAUCCCAGGUGCAGCUGGCCACACAGACUGCCACACAUACAGAGCAUGGUAGGCAGCAGCUCAUGGUUAACUUAAUAUCUGUGACUGAACCCAGGGGUCACUAACCCAAACCACUGUCUCACAGCAAAAGUCUUUCCAGAUGUGGUUUUCCUCCUACUCACCAGCUAGUUCAGCUUGAAGUUUGCUAAGAGAUUAUUCAUACACACAAACAGGAUUCAAUUCACUGAGGAAAUAGGGAAAUAGGUUUAUCCAGUUGCUGGCACUUAGACUUAUGCACCCACACGCACCCCAAGAUCUCUGGUUGCUGCCACCAACCAAGACCUCUGGGCUUGACUCUUCUGUAUGUCAGUCUCUGCAUUUACUGGCACCAUUUUCCUACAGUCGUUUCCCCUCUGAUCCAUUAUGACCAUCCUUUUUCCUUUGGACCCUUUAGCCCUUCUCCUACAUGUCCCGUAAUAAGUUUUACAUGAGCCCACAAUCCCCUUCUGAUAGCUGAUAUCCCAAAUAGCCUCAAAUAUCCUGUAAUAUUCAUGUUAGUUGUGUUUCCCCUUCUUAUCAACUGCAAUGUGUAGUUCAGGUUGACAUUCUUCAGGGAUAUGCCUUAGCAGUUCCUUCAUCACCAUCAAUCAUCAACGGAUCCCCACAGUCAUCUCUGUUGUGCUUGUGUGUCUGUACGGUUAAUUUAGCACUUUUCUCAUUACUUGUUAUUUAUUUUAUAUUUACCAGAUCAAACUCAAGUGACUUAAUGAAACAGGUGUCCACACACUCUUAUGCUACUGACUGACAACAGCUGCAGAACUCAGAGUGUCUGGGUUCCUCUGAAUUACAGAGUCCAGUUCCCUUUUAUGAUGGACAGCUCCAUGAUCUUCCCUGCUCCGAAAGAAACAAAGGGAGCCAUUGCCAGAAAACCUGAGCUCCAGCCUGAUCCUUCUGACUGCUUCAAGUUUGGCCACAGGUGCUUCUACAAACUGGUCCUUUGCUACCAAUACACAAGCCCUCAGGGUAACUCAGUUCACUUGCCUGCCUUCUUUUCCUUUAUGUUUACAGCACUUCAGUUGAUAGAAAACUCACUUUCUGCUCCACAAAACUGACAUCUGUCCCAAGGGCCACUAUCAUGUAAUAUUUGCUUCCACUAUACUAAUUGUGCUCAUAUCCUGGUGCAAAUUUGCCUUUUGACAUGCUCAGCAUUUAAACAAAGCUCUUCUAUCUUCACUUAGUCGGUUUAAAAAAGCUUUUAUAGGAAGGAGUUGAAUAAAAUCCAUGGGGAGCUGGUCCAGAAGAUUCAUGCUGCUUUUAUCCCAUCAAGCCACAUUUAUCACCCUCCAAGAAACUUCAUUCUCCUGAUUCCUCUUGUGUUCUUUGCCUUCUUAAUUCUCACCAUAUGGAGCAAUUUGAACUUGCAAGAUAAAUAGAGUGGAGAGCACAGGGCAGACUCUCAAGGCAUCAUUGAUCUGAUCACACCUGAACCAUUCUAGGACAGACCUAGCUGAAGAUGUUCCCAUCACAUUGCAUAUUCCAUGCUCAGGAAUUCUCUAUUAGCAGGUGUGGUAAAUUCUGAACAGACAUUCUCAUUUGUUUUCAAAUUUUAAGAACUUGUGUGAGCAGUCUCUGCCUUCCCCCCAAAGGAGGCAAGAAUAUCAUUCUAGAAAUCUUCUGGUUGUGCACUAAACACAACCUCCAAGCCCUGAUUCCUUCACCUUAUUCAGCGUUACUACUAGCUCAAACAAUUUAUUGUGAAUGAUCUAACUGAAAAAAAACGUCUAUGGGCAACACUGCUGAGUUCACAUCUGCACCUAUCUUUCUAUACCCUUGCCAUUCCUUAUGUUAUUGUUUUUAUAGUUUCUGUCUAAAUCAUUUAUUCAGAACUCUAUGUUUGGCCCUGAAAAUGAAUCCAUUGGCAGUGCACUGCAAGGCUGUAUGGGGAUUUAAUGUGAUCAAGCUUAAAUAGAGUUAUAUAUCACAUCCUCUCUGGUUUUCCAAUAGAAAAUCAGAGCGGAAACUGACUACUGGUUACACACUUCUCCAGGAUAGAAAGUAGGUCACAUAAGCACUUGAGCUACAAAUAGUCCAGAGAUGUCAGAAAAUAAAUCUUUUCAUAAUUCCAAAAUCAAGCAUAACAUUCAGCAUGAUUCUUUUAUUUCCAUCUUCUUGGAACAGCUUCUUGACAUUUUCUCAUAUUCGUGACCUGUUUCUGAUGUUCUGCACAAGCCCCUUUGCAGAAUUGUUUUUUAAAAGGUUUCUAAAUGGGGAGAUAGAACACUCAGUGAGUCAUACUGGCUCUCAUUGCUCUUGGCCUUUAGACAUUUACCUCUCAGCACUCCCCCAGUCUACCUGCCUUGGCACAGCUUCAUAGCACGUUGUUACUAUCUUCAGCCUCAGAGUUUGUUUGAGAGCUGGAACAAUGCUAAUCAGCCAGGUGGGCUGCAUAAAUGAAUCCACAGAGGAAUAAAUUUAAGUUGUUACACAUUUUCCUGCAGGGUAAACAGUCACUUUGGUCCUCAGCCUUCAUCACUGGUUUCAAAGACAAGCGACUACACUUUGUUAAUUCAUGAUCAUAAUUUGCACUACACUACACUUCUAUAUAAGAUUUUAAAACAGUUAUCCUACAUACACUGCCUUGGAACUCUUAACAUAUUUUCUUCUGAUGUCAAUGCUAUUUUGUCUCAACUACACUUAUAUUUAACUAUUUUGCUAUAGAGACAUCUGUGAAGAUGCACAGCCCAUUUCAUAACAUUGGACGAAUAUAUUACAGAAAAUAGGAAGUAGAUUUAUAUAUAACUUACAGGUCAGUCAGAGUACUCAAAAAUAUUCAAGUGCUGUGGAUAGGAAUUUUUUUGCCCUAACUGGUCUUAUGGCACUUGCAGUAAGUGGCUGGAAAUAUUUGCCUUAAUUAGUUAUAGUCUCUUCCUUUUGUUAGAAACAAAGACUUAUUCUACUAGAAGCUUUCCUCACUCAAACUAAAACUGCAUUUGAGAGUGAAUGAAUACAGUUACC